GGUUAGCUAAAGCGGGAGAGGGAAGACUUACGUCCGAGCCAUUGUGUCUCAAAGGAAAAAUUUUUCUCAAUCCGUGCUCGUGAAGCAGUGACAUGCGUGAAAAGCAUAUUCUUACGAUUUUCGUGUUCGUGGGAUGUAUCGCGAAAUUGGGAUCCCUAAAGCUGCCCCUGAGAACUGUUCCGAGCAUGCGAGACUUUGUAAAUACAAGAGAAGAAAUAUGGACCUACCUCACAAGCGAAAAUACAAACAUUGAGUGUAAAGCCGAUGAAAAACUGUAUCUGAGUCUGAUAUCCAUUGAAUUCCGACGAUCGUAUUACUUCAGGAUGAAAAAGAUGUGUUACUCGCUGCUCGGCAGGUUUGAUCCCCAACAUAAAGAGGUCAUGAGAAUUCACUCUUCAGGUAAUGUAGCACCUUUAAGCAGACGGAAAAAAUUGUUUACGUGGAUGACGAGCUUAGCUGUGCAGUCGUGAAGGUGACAACGUAUUUUACAAGUCAGAAGAAGUAUGAUCUUCGUGUCCGGAAUUCGUCCGUUCAUGUGGCUCCCAGUGGAAAAUGUUUGAAAUAUUUCAACUUAAAAGCGAAAGGAAAACAGCACAAGCUAUAUAAAAACUACUGCCAAUACUUACUGCACCGUCCACACGAAAAUAAAUUCCUCUGUAAGGAAGAAAAGAACCCUGCGAUUUGAAGCAGCGCAUAAUUUCUUCAAAAAUACACCACAAAGUAAUGAAGGCAUCCACGAACGGCGAAUAUACAAGCAGUGGAACUGAAGUUGACUUUGAUGGAUCGUUUCAUCCUACCCAGAGCGGGGAACACUUGUUCAAGAAACGAUUUACGUUGUUUUGUCAAAUUCUGUAUUUCAGUUUAUUUGUUAGUUCGUAAAAACGAUUUGUGUACUGCGUGACAACAAAUUUUAAGUAC